GGCGAACGCUGGCGGCGUGCCUAAUACAUGCAAGUAGAACGCUGAAGGAGGAGCUUGCUUCUCUGGAUGAGUUGCGAACGGGUGAGUAACGCGUAGGUAACCUGCCUGGUAGCGGGGGAUAACUAUUGGAAACGAUAGCUAAUACCGCAUAAGAGUAGAUGUUGCAUGACAUUUGCUUAAAAGGUGCAAUUGCAUCACUACCAGAUGGACCUGCGUUGUAUUAGCUAGUUGGUGGGGUAACGGCUCACCAAGGCGACGAUACAUAGCCGACCUGAGAGGGUGAUCGGCCACACUGGGACUGAGACACGGCCCAGACUCCUACGGGAGGCAGCAGUAGGGAAUCUUCGGCAAUGGACGGAAGUCUGACCGAGCAACGCCGCGUGAGUGAAGAAGGUUUUCGGAUCGUAAAGCUCGGUUGUAAGAGAAGAACGAGUGUGAGAGUGGAAAGUUCACACUGUGACGGUAUCUUACCAGAAAGGGACGGCUAACUACGUG
rnacentral:rRNA from 1 species